GGGCCUGUGGUCUAGUGGUUAUGACGUCGCCUUUACACGGCGAAGGUCGCAAGUUCGACUCUUGCCAGGCCCA
rnacentral:tRNA from 1 species